rnacentral:rRNA from 1 species
GACGAACGCUGGCGGCGUGCUUAACACAUGCAAGUCGAACGGAAAGGCCCUGCUUUUGUGGGGUGCUCGUGUGGCGAACGGGUGAGUAACACGUGAGUAACCUGCCCUUGACUUUGGGAUAACUUCAGGAAACUGGGGCUAAUACCGGAUAGGAGCUCCUGCUGCAUGGUGGGGGUUGGAAAGUUUCGGCGGUUGGGGAUGGACUCGCGGCUUAUCAGCUUGUUGGUGGGGUAGUGGCUUACCAAGGCUAUGACGGGUAGCCGGCCUGAGAGGGUGACCGGCCACAUUGGGACUGCGAUACGGCCCAGACUCCUACGGGAGGCAGCAGUGGGGAAUAUUGCACAAUGGGCGGAAGCCUGAUGCAGCAACGCCGCGUGCGGGAUGACGGCCUUCGGGUUGUAAACCGCUUUCGCCUGUGACGAAGCGUGAGUGACGGUAAUGGGUAAAGAAGCACCGGCUAACUACGUG